rnacentral:rRNA from 1 species
AUUGAACGCUGGCGGCAUGCUUUACACAUGCAAGUCGAACGGUAACAGGUUAAGCUGACGAGUGGCGAACGGGUGAGUAAUGCAUCGGAACGUGCCCGGUCGUGGGGGAUAACGCAGCGAAAGUUGCGCUAAUACCGCAUACGAUCUGAGGAUGAAAGCGGGGGACCGUAAGGCCUCGCGCGAUCGGAGCGGCCGAUGUCAGAUUAGGUAGUUGGUGGGGUAAAGGCUCACCAAGCCAACGAUCUGUAGCUGGUCUGAGAGGACGACCACCCACACUGGGCCGGCGACAGGGCCCAGACUCCUACGGGAGGCAGCAGUGGGGAAUUUUGGACAAUGGGCGAGAGCCUGAUCCAGCCAUGCCGCGUGCAGGAAGAAGGCCUUCGGGUUGUAAACUGCUUUUGUACGGAGCGAAAAGGUCUCCUCUAAUACAGGGGGCUCAUGACGGUACCGUAAGAAUAAGCACCGGCUAACUACGUGCCAGCAGCCGCCGUAA